CCCCGCCUCCGGCCGCCAUCUCAAGUGUGGCUGUAGAGGCACCGAGCUAGCAAGAAUCCCGGGAAAGUGGAAGUUGACAGUGAGAGGGAACAAAGGCUCAAGAAGGAAUUCAGAGAGAGUAUGAGAUAGCCAGAGAGCCCAAAGUAGCUAGAAAGUGGCAGCCACACUAAUCAUGGCGACCAAAAGACGACCCAAUGGAUGGGGCGGAGCCACUCCUGGCGGCUGGGGCACGUUGCCUUCUCCGUCCUCUCAGUUAUUGGUUUGUUUGAGAAGGGAUCGGAAAGGCAAUGUGUGGGUGUGGACAUCAGUCAAAGUUAGUCCCGCCUCCGGACUCUUCGCGCGCUUCCUGGCGCCGGGGCCGCAGGAAGAUCGCCAGUACCUUGGUCGAUUUGCCCUUUUCCUGGAGUGAUGUCACGGCGUAACCGACACACCCUCGAGACGUGCAAACGGCUCGGGAGGGUGUGGAGAAGCUGGAGGGCGCAGCUGGGUGUGGUAGCCUUGGGGUGCGGACAACAGCCCGCGAAGAAAGGCCUUGAGCAGUGGGAAGGAAUGGAACUGGAAGCUUGCCCCUUGACGACACCUUUUUCAAGGCGGAAGUGCUCUCUGCAGCGUCUAUCGCCGCCCUCUUUGUCACUUUAUUGGGCAGGGAGGGAGUUCUUGUCCAGUCUCAGCUUUGAGUCCAGAGCUCAAAGAAGCACCUGUCUUUUCGAGGCGGGGCUCGAAAAGUUGGGCCUUUUCUCCUGCCGCGGCUUGGGCCAUUAAACAAGUGAGAUUCGGUCCCUGUGGUUUGGCAUCGUUGCAAGGGCCUCGGCUUUUGUGUGACCUCCCCUAACUUGAGUUUUCUCAGGUUGACCACUUGGGUCCAUUGGGGAAAUAAAUGAGGUGAAAAUUGAGCGCGCUUGGUAAAAUGGAAGAAAGAGUAUCGGCAUGAAUUGGGCCAGGUGCGAAACUGUUCCCUCUUGAACAUAUUUCAGGCCAGUAGUAGUCAUUGAGAGAAGGAGGCCUUCGCCGAGACCUGCCAGGCCCGGAAGCCCUGUACUGAGCUCAGCCAUAGAAGGGCCGAUGAGCACAAAACAAAAGUUCUCAACUAGGAGCCGCAGGAGUGGAACUGUUAGGUUUCCACCUGGUUGGUGGAAUUGGAGAACGUUUCUCAUGGGAAAGGUGGCAUUCGUACCAGGCCCUGCAAAGGGAGAAGAGGGAUGAGGAUCAAAUAUAUCAGAUAGGAGCUAAAGCUGAUGGUAAAGAUUAAAGAUCUCGAGAUGUUCCUAGUUCCUCUCCUUCAAACAGAGAAUUGGAGAUUUUGGCGUGUAAUGUCUCGUAGCAGCAUCUUCUAGGGCCUCUUU